rnacentral:rRNA from 1 species
UCGGGAAUAUUGCGCAAUGGAGGAAACUCUGACGCAGUGACGCCGCGUAUAGGAAGAAGGUUUUCGGAUUGUAAACUAUUGUCGUUAGGGAAGAAAAAGGACAGUACCUAAGGAGGAAGCUCCGGCUAACUACGUGCCAGCAGCCGCGGUAAUACGUAGGGAGCGAGCGUUAUCCGGAUUUAUUGGGUGUAAAGGGUGCGUAGACGGGUAAACAAGUUGGUUGUGGAAUCCCUCGGCUUAACUGAGGAACUGCAACCAAAACUGUAUAUCUUGAGUACAGGAGAGGUAAGUGGAAUUCCUAGUGUAGCGGUGAAAUGCGUAGAUAUUAGGAGGAACACCAGUGGCGAAGGCGACUUACUGGACUGAAACUGACGUUGAGGCACGAAAGUGUGGGGAGCAAACAGGAUUAGAUACC